UAAAUAAAACCUAAAAAUAUACAGUGUAAAUAUAAUUCCCUUCUCUACUUAAAGCCAUUCAAGAGCUUCCAUUAAUGUUAGGAUAACAACUAGUGUCCUUAACAGGAACCUGCAUGAACUAUUCCUAGCCAAGCUCAGUAGCUUCAUCUCCCUUUAAUUAUCUCCUUUUAAUCCCCAUGCUUGUCAUGUUGGCCACCUUUCAUUUCUUCAAGUUCCCUGUCCUUUUCAUUUCAGGGGCUUUUCAUUUUCUAUUCUGUCUGCCAGAUUGUUUCACCAGUUUAUUAAAUGAAUAUUUAUUUACUUUUUCUGCAUCCCAGGACUGCAUUAAUAAGUACAUCCUGAACUUGACUUCAUAACACUGUAGGCUUCUAUUAUAGUUAACUGAUACUAUUUUUCUUUCUGCAUAGAAUAUAAACUACAUAGGAUAUGGAUUUUAUCUAUUCUUCUGACUGUUCCAUCACUCAUGCCUAGUACCAUGCUUCACAAGGCAGAUAAUACAGUGAAUGGAUAUAGAAUUAACUGAUGAAAUAUUUCUAAGAAUUGAAAAGCACCUUGUAGGGUAAAGAAAGAGAGAUCAGACUGUUACUGUGUCUAUGUAGAAAGGGAAGACAUAAGAAAUUCCAUUUUGACCUGUACCCUGAACAAUCACUUUGCCCUGAGAUGCUGUUAAUUUGUAACUUUUCCCCAACCUCUUUGCCCCAAUCUCUUUGCCCCAACUUUGAGCUCACAAAAACAUAUGUUGUAUGGAAUCAAUGUUUAAGGGAUCUAGGGCUGUGCAGGAUGUGCCUUGUUAACAAAAUGUUUACAAGCAGUAUUCUUGGUAAAAUCAUUGCCAUUCUCUAGUCUUGAUAAACCAGGGGCGCAAUGCACUGUGAAAAGCUGCAGGGACCUCUCCCCUGGAAGCCGGGUAUUGUCCAAGGUUUCUCCCCAUGUGAUAGUCUGAAAUAUGGCCUCAUGGGAUGAGAAAGACCUGACCGACCCCCAGCCUGACACCCGUGAAGGGUCUGUGCUGGGGAGGAUUAAUAAAAGAGGAAAGCCUCUUGCAGUUGAGAUAGAGGAAGGCCACUGUCUCCUGCCUACUCUUGGGAAUGGAAUGUUUCGGUAUAAAACCCGAUUGUACAUUUGUUCAAUGCUGAGAUAGGAGAAAAACCACCCUAUGGCAGGAGGUGAGACAUGUUGGCAGCAACGCUGCUCUGUUACUCUUUACUCUACUGGGAUGUUUGGGUGGAGAAAAGCAUAAAUCUGGCCUACGUGCAUGUCCAGGCAUAGUACCUUCCCUUGAACUUAUUUGUGACACAGAUUCCUUUGCUCACAUGUUUUCUUGCUGACCUUCUCCCCACUAUCACUCUGCUCUCCUGCCGCAUUCCUCCUGCUGAGAUACUGAAAAUAGUAAUUAAUAAAUACUGAGGGAAGUCAGAGACCGGUGCCAGUGCAGGUCCUUGGUAUGCUGAGCGCCAGUCCCCUGGGCCCACUUUUCUUUCUCUAUACUUUGUCUCUGUGUCUUAUUUCUUUUCUCAGUCUCUUGUCCCACUUGAGGAGAAAUACCCAUAGGUGUGGAAGGGCUGGCCCCCUUCAUACCUAAAAGUGGUGAUUUAAUAGAAUAAUAGAUUUGAGAUUUUCAUUUCAAUUUUUAAAUGUUUCAUUAUAUUUAAUGGUAAUUUUAAGUGUUCAUGCCAAUCUGUUCAUGCCAAUCUGUUCUAUCAUAGACCAGAAGGCUCAAGAUCCUCUGUGUGACACAACCUUAAUGAAAGAGAAUAAGGAAAUAGAGACAGGAAGAAGCAGCAGCAGGAGGAGGAAGAUCCACAUCCAUUUUCCUAAGGAGAGAGGGUUGGAAGAGGAAAACAGAGAGAACACGUUCCUCUGCUAUAAAUGGGCGCACAGCCACCCAGCGAGUCUCCGAGGAAUGAAAGAGCUCUGUGUGCAGAGGGCCGUGGAUGCAUUCUUAUGGUGGCAAAGGGGACAGGAACCCACUGGUGUGUGGGAAGAAGGCACUCAUGGUCAUAGGCAGCCAUUGCUAAGCACCUUUCAUAUUUUAUCUCAUUAAUCUCACAACCACCUUACAGUAGUAAUAGUUCUUAUCUUUCAAGACAGAAAAUGAAUUAUAGCUGAAACAACACAGCAAAGGUGACAAAGCUAUUGAGUGGUGCAGGGAAUUUCCCAGGCAUUAUGUAAGAUUUGAGGACAAAGACGUGAGCCCAAGAUGGCUCCAGAACCUGAGUGACAGAGUUUAGUGGGAGUGACAGAGUGAAAGUAAGAAUGAGUGAGAGUGAGAGAGUUGGGGUGGGAGAGAGGGAGAAUGGGGAUGUGUAUGUUCAUGAAUGUGCACAAGUGUGCAAAUAUCUGCAAAUGUAGGUUGGAGGACAGUGUAUGGUCACGAAUCAAAAUCCUUCCUAAUGUAUCUGUUCAACAGAGGGUCCCAGGUAGACCCUGCCCCUGCCUUUUUUCUGCCUGGGUUGUGUCUAGCUGCAGGCAGUGGUAACAAUCCGAAGGGCUUCAUUUCCUUUAGGUGUUUGUGGCCUCUUCUCCACAAUCCAGAUGCCUUUGCACUUACACUCCACCAUAUUCCUCUUAGAGUCCUGUUCCUAAUGGUCCCCAUCGGAGCAAAUACAGUGGAUUCAGUCUUAUCCCACCACCUUGCUCCCACAUUAAAGUCCAAGCCUGAACUCAGUCCUUGUAUUCUUUUGGCCCAGAGUCCUCCAUCAGUCCUUAUCUCCUACACAGCAUGUCCUGUCUUGCUAGGAAAAGCAGAGCUGAGAUUCAAUCUCAAGUCAGUUUGCUCCUAAAGUAAGCAUCUUUGCUUCUAAGAAAUGGCAGUAAUGGGACCAUACACAUUAAGCAAUUUUUUUAAUGUACCCUUGCUGAAUUCCUGGAUGAACUUCUUAGGCCUGACAAGAAGGAUUUCUUGACUAAUUUAGGACAUUAAAUAAGGAUGUUUUUGGAAGAGCUGAAAAAUCUCAGGUUAAAAAUGACUUCUAACUAGCAAAGUAUACAGCCUAGAAUCUUAGCUUGUACUUGGGAGGGAUUCAGAACUCCAUUACUAUUUACUGAAAUAAACUUCCUAAGAAUUUUAUCUCUACCAACUCUCUGCCACUGCAUAUUUCGAAUUAAACAGAACUAGAUAAAAAACUUGUAUGGUAUUAUCAACUGUUUAAACACGGGGUAGGAGCCCUGGGAUGAGGAUGGCGAUGUCUAACAAUUCUUACGUGCACCCUGUCAGUCAUUUUAUCCAUUUCUUUAGAAAGAUUAAAUGACCCAGAGGGCCUCUGAGAAGACUUUGUAAGGCAGGGCACACUUUUCAAUUGUAUAUCAUUAAAUGAGCCACGAAAAAAAAAAAA
rnacentral:lncRNA from 1 species